GAUGAACGCUGGCGGCGUGCCUAAUACAUGCAAGUCGAGCGAACGGACGAGAAGCUUGCUUCUCUGAUGUUAGCGGCGGACGGGUGAGUAACACGUGGAUAACCUACCUAUAAGACUGGGAUAACUUCGGGAAACCGGAGCUAAUACCGGAUAAUAUUUUGAACCGCAUGGUUCAAAAGUGAAAGACGGUCUUGCUGUCACUUAUAGAUGGAUCCGCGCUGCAUUAGCUAGUUGGUAAGGUAACGGCUUACCAAGGCAACGAUGCAUAGCCGACCUGAGAGGGUGAUCGGCCACACUGUAACUGAGACACGGUCCAGACUCCGACGGGAGGCAGCAGUAGGGAAUCUUCCGCAAUGGGCGAAAGCCUGACGGAGCAACGCCGCGUGAGUGAUGAAGGUCUUCGGAUCGUAAAACUCUGUUAUUAGGGAAGAACAUAUGUGUAAGUAACUGUGCACAUCUUGACGGUACCUAAUCAGAAAGCCACGGCUAACUACGUG
rnacentral:rRNA from 1 species